CUAAACUCUGUCAUCCAAAAAUUAGGCAUUGACAACUCAAUUAACAUUUAAGAUCGCUGUGGAAUGCAAGGACGAUCGAGAAGUCUCUGCACACACAGAUAAAGAAGACAAAGGGGAACAUCUUGAUGUCUGUCACAUUCCAGGCAUUCCGUUGUAGUUUUUUUCCUGUCCCAAAUGGCAGGGUUUGAGUAGGCAAGAAGGUGCAUCCUACUGUAAAGAAGAUGUGACAUGUUUGGUUGCUACAGCUGCUCAAGCCUGGAGAGAAAUAAGGCCGCCAAAUGUCUGAAAGAUUAUUGCAAAAAAUGGUCUACUAAAAAAUGCCAACAAAACAAUUAGAUCAUGAUAGUAAAAACUUAAGUAGUUAAGAGUGAAAACACAGAUAUGCCAUCUUUCAAAACUCUCUCUCUUGAAAUAUGAAGCUUUGAAAAUCUGCAUUACAUUUUUAUAUUGAAAAUUCUUGUCAGCAGAAUAUAUCUGAAUUGUUUUUUAAAAAAUAAUAAUCUGGAAUUAAAGAAUGUAAAUAUAAAAAUGUGAAACAAACUUGCUUUAGUUGUUGCACAGUAUAUUGAGGGUAAAGUUUGGGAUGUCAUCCAUGUGACAAAAUUAGAUCAGUAGAUCAUCUUUGUGUAAUAAUAGAUAUAGCAUACAUCUUUGAAAUAUAAAUAAUUACUUUCAACAUAAUACUAGCCAGAAGCAGUAUUUCUAAUUAACAAGUGAACAAGAGAAUUCCUCCAUUAUUGCUUAUUAUCAUUGCAAAUGUUUAAAAUUGUGAUAAGCCAUUACUAUGGCAUUGCUAUAGGAAUCUGGUAACAGCUUUCCUUGACUGUAAUUAUUCAAAUUUUCAUGAACUGGAGAUUUUUACUGGCUCCAGCCCUCUAUUUUGUCUUUUAGAAGCCUAUUAAUAUUUGAAUAUAAUAAUAUAAUCUUGCAG
ensembl:lncRNA